AGAUGUGAGGGCGAUCUGGCUGCAACAUCUGUCACCCCAUUAAUCACCAGGGUUGAUUCGGCUGAUCUGGCUGGCUAGGCGGGUGUCCCCUUCCUCCCUCACCUUUCAUGUGUGUCCUUCCCAAAGCUGCAUGAUAGGUCAAAGAGGACGACCUCCCCCGAUAGAGGAGGAGCAUUCUUCAGUCAAGGAUAUACAAGUAGUGAUGCUCCCCUGCUAGAACCUCCAAACAAGCUCUCAAGAUUCCUUGGAAGUAAGUACCCAACAUGACUGUUCCUAGCCACUUGCAUCCAGGUGGGACAUGCGACUAGU
rnacentral:snRNA from 1 species